UACGUAGGGGGGCAAGCGUUGUCCGGAUUUAUUGGGCGUAAAGAGCGUGUAGGCGGCCAUACAGGUCAGCUGUGAAAAACUCGAGGCUCAACCUCGAGACGUCGGUUGAAACCGUAUGGCUAGAGUCCGGAAGAGGAGAGUGGAAUUCCCGGUGUAGCGGUGAAAUGCGCAGAUAUCGGGAAGAACACCUAUGGCGAAGGCAGCUCUCUGGGGACGGUACUGACGCUGAGACGCGAAAGCGUGGGGAGCGAACAGG
rnacentral:rRNA from 1 species